GGAUGAGCCCGCGGCCUAUCAGCUUGUUGGUGAGGUAACGGCUCACCAAGGCGACGACGGGUAGCCGGCCUGAGAGGGCGACCGGCCACACUGGGACUGAGACACGGCCCAGACUCCUACGGGAGGCAGCAGUGGGGAAUAUUGCACAAUGGGCGAAAGCCUGAUGCAGCGACGCCGCGUGAGGGAUGACGGCCUUCGGGUUGUAAACCUCUUUCAGCAGGGAAGAAGCGCAAGUGACGGUACCUGCAGAAGAAGCGCCGGCUAACUACGUGCCAGCAGCCGCGGUAAUACGUAGGGCGCAAGCGUUGUCCGGAAUUAUUGGGCGUAAAGAGCUCGUAGGCGGUCUGUCGCGUCGGAUGUGAAAGCCCGGGGCUUAACCCCGGGUCUGCAUUCGAUACGGGCAGACUGGAGUGUGGUAGGGGAGAUCGGAAUGCCUGGUGUAGCGGUGAAAUGCGCAGAUAUCAGGAGGAACACCGGUGGCGAAGGCGGAUCUCUGGGCCAUUACUGACGCUGAGGAGCGAAAGCGUGGGGAGCGAACAGGAUUAGAUACCCUGGUAGUCCACGCCGUAAACGGUGGGAACUAGGUGUUGGCGACAUUCCACGUCGUCGGUGCCGCAGCUAACGCAUUAAGUUCCCCGC
rnacentral:rRNA from 1 species